AUAGAAAGUACGCUUAUUAAGUUUGCGGACGAUACCAAACUGGGAGGGAUUGCAACUGCUUUGGAGGACAGGGUCAAAAUUCAAAAGGAUCUGGACAAGUUGGAGAAAUGGUCUGAGGUAAACAGGAUGAAGUUCAAUAAAGAUAAAUGCAAAGUGCUCCACUUAGGAAGGAACAAUCAGUUUCACACAUAUAGAAUGGGAAGAGACUGUCUAGGAAGGAGUAUGGCAGAAAGAGAUCUAGGGGUCAUAGUGGACCAGAAGCUUAAUAUGAGUCAACAGUGUGAUACUGUUGCAAAAAAAGCAAACGUGAUUCUGGGAUGCAUUAACAGGUGUGUUGUAAACAAGACACGAGAAGUCAUUCUUCCGCUUUACUCUGCGCUGGUUAGGCCUCAACUGGAGUAUUGUGUCCAGUUCUGGGCACCGCAUUUCAAGAAAGAUGUGGAGAAACUGGAGAGGGUCCAGAGAAGAGCAACAAGAAUGAUUAAAGGUCUUGAGAACAUGACCUAUGAAGGAAGGCUGAAGGAAUUGGGUUUAUUUAGUUUGGAAAAGAGAAGACUGAGAGGGGACAUGAUAGCAGUUUUCAGGUAUCUAAAAGGGUGUCAUCAGGAGGAGGGAGAAAACUUGUUCACCUUAGCCUCCAAUGAUAGAGCAAGAAGCAAUGGGCUUAAACUGCAGCAAGGGAGAUUUAGGUUGGACAUUAGGAAAAAGUUCCUAACUGUCAGGGUAGUUAAACACUGGAAUAGAUUGCCUAGGGAAGUUGUGGAAUCUCCAUUGCUGGAGAUAUUUAAGAGUAGGUUAGAUAAAUGUCUAUCAGGG